rnacentral:lncRNA from 1 species
UUCACAUUCGGAACGUGAAUAAAAUAAAGAUCUCUGCGAAAGCAGAUGGUACUUACUUUCUCAUAUGAACUACCAAAGAAAUUGGAAAAACAUAGAUUGUCUUUAUAUUCCAAUUUUAAGGAACUUAAUUCCGUCACUAUAGUAGAGAUGGAUGAAUGUUUUGUUUGACAAAACAGUGUUCCUUAUUAAUCAAUCAAUGAUUGGAUUAUAGUAAUCUAAUUAAUUGUCUCUAUAGUAGAGAUGAUAUGGUAGUGUUAACUGUUUAGAAUAUAAUGAUGCUUAAAACCCAAAAGGUUG